ACACAUGCAAGUCGAACGAAGCACUUUAUUUGAUUUCCUUCGGGACUGAUUAUUUUGUGACUGAGUGGCGGACGGGUGAGUAACGCGUGGGUAACCUGCCUUGUACAGGGGGAUAACAGUUGGAAACGGCUGCUAAUACCGCAUAAGCGCACGGCAUCGCAUGAUGCAGUGUGAAAAACUCCGGUGGUAUAAGAUGGACCCGCGUUGGAUUAGCUAGUUGGUGAGGUAACGGCCCACCAAGGCGACGAUCCAUAGCCGACCUGAGAGGGUGACCGGCCACAUUGGGACUGAGACACGGCCCAAACUCCUACGGGAGGCAGCAGUGGGGAAUAUUGCACAAUGGGCGAAAGCCUGAUGCAGCGACGCCGCGUGAGCGAAGAAGUAUUUCGGUAUGUAAAGCUCUAUCAGCAGGGAAGAUAAUGACGGUACCUGACUAAGAAGCACCGGCUAAAUACGUGCCAGCAGCCGCGGUAAUACGUAUGGUGCAAGCGUUAUCCGGAUUUACUGGGUGUAAAGGGAGCGCAGGCGGUGCGGCAAGUCUGAUGUGAAAGCCCGGGGCUUAACCCCGGUACUGCAUUGGAAACUGUCGUACUAGAGUGUCGGAGGGGUAAGCGGAAUUCCUAGUGUAGCGGUGAAAUGCGUAGAUAUUAGGAGGAACACCAGUGGCGAAGGCGGCUUACUGGACGAUAACUGACGCUGAGGCUCGAAAGCGUGGGGAGCAAACAGGAUUAGAUACCCUGG
rnacentral:rRNA from 1 species